AACGAACGCUGGCGGCAGGCUUAAUACAUGCAAGUCGAACGCACCUUUCGGGGUGAGUGGCAGACGGGUGAGUAACGCGUGGGAAUCUACCCUUCUCUACGGGAUAGCUCCGGGAAACUGGAAUUAAUACCGUAUACGUCCUGAGGGAGAAAGAUUUAUCGGGGAAGGAUGAGCCCGCGUUGGAUUAGCUAGUUGGUGGGGUAAAGGCCUACCAAGGCGACGAUCCAUAGCUGGUCUAAGAGGAUGAUCAGCCACAUUGGGACUGAGACACGGCCCAAACUCCUACGGGAGGCAGCAGUGGGGAAUAUUGGACAAUGGGCGCAAGCCUGAUCCAGCCAUGCCGCGUGAGUGAUGAAGGCCCUAGGGUUGUAAAGCUCUUUCAGUGGGGACGAUAAUGACGGUACCCACAGAAGAAGCCCCGGCUAACUUCGUG
rnacentral:rRNA from 1 species